AAACAUUUAAAAAUGAAUAUUUGCCUAGUAAAGUUUGUUCAUUUGGGAUUUUGUUUUGUUUCUUUAAGCAGCAAAUGAAUCAUUACAUGAAACUCUAAUGCUUGCCUGGUAGAAGGCGGGGUGUGGGAGAGGCUCUUCUUUUUCCUCCCACCCCUGGGGCAACCGAGCCAGCAGUGGCAACCUGAUGGGGUCCCUUUUCAAGCUGUGGAACCUUUGUUCUUUCUCUGUUUGCAAUAAAUCUUGCCACUGCUCACUCUUUGGGUCCACACUGCUUUUAUGAGCUGUAACACUCACCGCGAAGGUCCGCAGCUUCACUCCUGAAGCCAGCGAGACCACGAGCCUACUGGGAGGAACGAACAACUCCCGACGCGCCGCCUUAAGAGCUGUAACACUCACCGCGAAGGUCUGCAGCUUCACUCCUGAGCCAGCGAGACCACGAACCCACCAGAAGGAAAAAACUCCGAACACAUCUGAACAUCAGAAGCAACAAACUCCGGACACGCCGCCUUUAAGAACUGUAACACUCACUGCGAGGGUCCGCGGCUUCAUUCUUGAAGUGAGUGAGACCAAGAACCCACCAGUUCUGGACACAAUUUCAAGUCCUCAGGGUGAGUUUUCCCCAGCUGAGUGAGAAUAUAAAUUAGUCACAGGAGUACCCUGAAUCACUGUUUGGUUGGACUAGUUUUUCUAGGUGAACACUGUGCUGGCUGUGUGGCACAAACUCCUGAUUGGUCAGACUGAAAUUUCCUUGCGGAAGAAAGAGGAGUAUGUUUUUAUUGAAUCCUAUUAUUUCUUAACUCCUAGGACAGACUUCUGCACAGUAAGGGCCUAUCAAAUAUACCUAUUAGGAUAAUUAUAUUAGCUUUUCAGAAGACAGUUACCAGGACUGUGUGAUUUGUGCUUUUCUAUAUUUUUCCCUUUGUGCUUAGCUUAAAUCUAUUUGGCAAUGUUGGUAGUGACUUUCUUGAAUACUGUAAGGUUCUAUGAACAUUAAUCUAGCUAAUUUUAUUUUAUGCCACAGCAAAUUCUCAAAGCAGAAUAUUGGUCUCGGCUGGGCGCAGUGGCUCAUGCCUGUAACCCCAGCACUUUGGGAGGCCGAGGCAGGUGGGUCACCUGUGGUCAGGAGUUCAAGCCUGGCCAACAUGGUGAAACCCCAUCUCUACUAAAAAUUGGCUGGGCUUGGUGGUGCCUUUAAUCCCAGCUACUUGGAAGGCUGGGUUAGGAGAAUUGCUUGAACCCCGGGGGAGAGAGCUUUCAGUGAGUGGAGAUCAUGCCACUGUACCUCAGCCUGUGCCACAGGAGCGAAACUCCGUCUCAAAAUAAUAAUAAUAAUGGUCUCAUGAUACUCAUAAUAGUGGUAGUUUGUGCUCUAAGACUGUCAAUUAUUCUGUAAUAUAUUUGUAUUAGGUUGAGGAGAAAAGAAUUUGGGGAAUCAGAAGAAAGAAAUAAAAAGAAGAAAGGAGGCGGCUGAAAUUUCAAUAGGUCACCCAACAUCAUCCGUUCCUUGCAGCAGAAGCUAGUAUUGUCAUAGAGGAAGACACAAGAGUAGGGAAAAGCAGGAGUCUGUAAAUCAAAAGAGCUCUGUCCUACUCCCAGUGAGCAGUGCAACUGGAAGAAAUUCUAGAACUUCUCUAUGCUCCAUUUUCUAUUUUAAAAACAUUUUUUAAAAACUUUCUUAAUUAUAACACAACCAUCUUUUUGAGUAUAAUUUUUUUCUUCACAAAGUACUAAAGCUACUAGUUAAGCUUCCUUUGUGUAAGCCUCAGAACAGGAAAGUUCUGUUGACAGAGCAAUCUCUUUAUUUUUUUGUUUUAUUUGCCUAUAGGAUGACAUCUUAAAAAUCUCAAAAGCAGAAAAACAUAGCUGAGAAAUGAACAGCUUAUUUAGUCUAACUCAUGGGAAAUGCAGCUAGCACAUGUUAUAAGACUUCUAGAAUUUGUUGAUUCAUGUGAGCAUUAAUGAUCUUUAUUUGAUUUUAAAAAUGAAACUUUCAUUUCAAGCUGCCAAGCCGAAACAUUUGCAUCCUGUACAAAUGAGUACUAAAGGCCCUUUCAUUGGCAGAUUAUUGGCUGUGCUAUGGAAAUGAGAAGAUUGACUCUAUGAAUAUUGUAUCUUUAGCUGUGAUCAACUCAUUCUGAAGAUGACAUGACAUGAUAUGACUGAUCAUAAAAAAUUUAUUGGUCUAUUUUCCAAAGUUUGUUGAGUUACUUUAAAACAUAAAGUUAUAUUUCCCAUUUAAGUUUCUUUCCUUUGAAAACUACAAUGAAUCUUUUUCUGCAAAGACAGAUCUUAAAAAGGUCAGCCAUUUUUAGCCAUUCAUGCAGAAGUACAUCUCACAUUGACAUCAAAAUGGAAAAUAUUUUAAUUAUUUCUUGUUUCACAAAUAAAAAUAAUAAUCAUUGGACUGAGAAAGGUAUAAACAAUUUCUGGUAAACUUUUGCUGAGAAAGCUGUGAGAAAUGAAACUAUCAGGGUAAAACUUAUAAUACCUGCUUAGAUUUCAGACAUAAAGUAAAUUUCCCAGUCAUCAUUUUAAAACAGCUGUGAAGUUCAUUAUAAAUAAUGUUAUAAAUUAUAUGCGAUAAUCUUUUUUUUUUUGCAAUUGUCAGUGUGUUUAUCUCUUGUGAUCCUUCUUUUUUUCCAAAAUUCUAUUAGCCCUAAGGAAAUGUUUACAUUUUGUCAGAAGCUGUUGAGACUAAAGUUUGUGGCUUUUUAACAUAUACAAUGUUAGCAUUAUUCUUUGUUCACUGAACAUCCAUAGCUCUCCCUGUGACAGGCUGUCAAGAAAUAUGUCUCUGAAAAGACAGGUUAGCUCCUCAAAGACAAUCACUGAUGCAAUUCUAAACGAUGUUCUACACCCCACCAGAGUGCCCCUUACUGUUCUCGUGUGCAGUGAUGUGAUGUCUGAACUAUUUGUUUGCUCUGCCAUAAGAUAGCAUUAGCAGAUGUAAUGUGAACAGAUCACUCAUUUGCAGAAAUAUUUAUGGUAGUGCUUUCAAAGGAUCAUUCAAUCUGCAAGUUGCAAUUGGUGAAGCAUGUAGCAAGGACUGUUUCUAAAACCAUGUAGGCUAAAAUGUCAUACUACAAGGCAGUUAAAAUGGUUAAUAUGUGUAUGUCCAGAGAUUAGAAAACACAUGCUGUCAUAUUUGAGCAGAUUCAAUACACGUGCAUUUUCAGUAAAGCAGAAGUAAUCAUCUUAUGUUGAAAGGGCUAGGUUAAAUUGCUUUAAGAAAAAAGCUUCCCUAACACAUACUUUAUGCUGCCCAUCAAGGAAGCUUUCCAUAUCUAAAAUGCAUCUUCUUCUACCUGACAGAGCUUUUUUAACAUAAUAUUGUUUUCUGAGCAAUACUUAAAAUCACACUUCACAGCAUGUGAUUGCAACACAUUUAAAAGUGAAACUGAGCCAGUCCUACUCUUUAUAAGGCUGCUGAUAAAUUUUUCUAUCAUAAUGAGAAACGCCAUAGAAGAUGAAUUAAUUCAACAGAUACACAUAAGUGUGAUUCUGGCCACAAACAAUUGCUUUCAUCCCUGGGAUGCAGCAUCGCAUGCUUUCAUUAAACACCUCACUGUGCUCUAAUUAUUGACAGUCUUUUAGUCCAAAAACAGCCCAGAAGCAGGUCAUAAAACAUAAUGCCCGGCCAAUGGAUGCUGGCAGAUCUUUGUCAAAAGUUUGGCAAAGGUAUCUGAGAAAUCUCUGAGAGGAUAAGAAGAGAAAACUAAAUACAUGCGGCUAAAAGCUAGGGAAUACCACAGGGAUCUGACUUUUGGACACUUCUUAAUAUAAUACUUUCAUUACUUUGGGCUACUUAGCGCAGUGAUAAUUUACUAAACAGAAGCAAUUUACUAAAGAGACUCCAGAAAUGUAAAAGAAUUAUUGCACCUCUGGAAAAAGUACAUAACAUUCCCUCUGAAAAGAUGAGACCCAGCAUUUCCAAUAAAGUUGAUUUACUACUUAAUGCGCCUCUGAAACAGCGUGGUGUUGGUUCAGAGAGCAGUUUGCAGCAAUUCGAUUUACACUAAUCAAAUGAAAUGGUACAUUUUCCUGACACCUAAAUGAAGUACACAUUUUAAAAAAUUACUUAAGAAAAUAGAUAUUUGAAAUAUUUAGUCAUUGUGAUGGAAGCUAGCAGACAUUUCACACUUUAAAUGGAUGGCUUCUAGUUGUCUCUAAAGAUACAUCUUUGUAAUCAUCCAUCUUGUAAGUUUGCUUUUAGAAAUAAAAUCUCAUCCUUCUAAUUGUGUUUAACCUUAUGUCAAAAAUAUUUUAAAUACAGUCCUGUGUCACUUAACAAUGAGGAUACACUUCUGAGAAACACAUCAUUAGGCAAUUUUGUCAUUGUGCAAACAUCACAGAGUGUACUUAAUAGAUGUCAUAGCCUGCUAGAUUUACCCAGGCUAUGUGGUACAGCCUAUUGCUUCUAGGCUACAAGCCUGCAUGUCGUGUUACUGUACAGAAUACUGUAGGCAAUUAUAACACAAUUGUAAGUAUUUGUGUAUCUAAACAUAGAAAAGUACAAUAAAAUAUAGUAGUACAAUCUUAUGAGACCACCAUGAUAUAUACAGUAAUGGUGUUAUGUGGUGCCUAACUAUAUAUUUAAGAGACCUCGUGAAUAGAAUGAGAAAGUAUAGCCAAAUAGGAGUUCUAAAAAAUUAUAUAAGAAAUGAUGCCAUUAAAUAUUUUUCUUAAAAGGUGAUGGGUGUUUGUGUAAGGGCAGAAAUUUUGUAAGGUUUAUAUUACGCUUACAGGUACUGAACACCUGCUACAUGCUGGUUAUGGUCCCAGGUGCUUAAAUUACAAAAUUGUACACAACAUACUCCUUUUAUUUAACAAAUGUAACUUUAUUAUUGGAAAUCAUUUGGUGUCACAGAAUCGUGUAAGAGAGCAUCCAAACCAGAUCUGGCAUGUUAAGGAGAUCUCCAAAAUCCUGAACUGAGGUGGAAAAACAAAGAUGUAGUUGUUUCCAGGAUAUGAGUAGUAUGUGUCUUUUUGGGCACAAGGGGCAAUGAGCCUGGGGGUGAACCCAGGUAGAAAGUGUAGAAAAUGUGGCUUGGACAAAAGCACCAGUAUGUGAACUUGUCCUCCUGAUGGGAUAGGGAAAGUACCGGGCAAGGGGGAGAGUCAGAUGGAGUCGGGUGGGACUUGGUGAGGUGAUGUCACAUUACAAAGGACUCAUUGACAUGCUAGACACCCAAAUCUAACUCUGUGUGUCAUGAGGAAUUGUAAAAGGCUUUUAAGCAAGGUACUGACAUGGUCGUAGUCUUUUAGAAUGAGAAAUGAGGAAGAAUUGAAAUGAAUACAAAAUGGACACAGGGAGAUAAAUUAGAAGACUGAUAUAGUAAAGGUGAAGACCUCAACUGAGUCAGUCACUGUAGGAGAGAAGAUUCUACAGAUACUAAAGCAGUAGAAUCAGAUUCAACUCAAGACAAAUUCUAUGGAGAAGGUGAAUGAGAAGGAAUACUCAAAUACAAAAUCUGGUCUCAGAUUUGCUUUUUUUUGUAAAGAUAACUAGACGAGAUAUUAUUGACCCUAGCCAAAAAUAAGAGAAGAAAGAGGAGGGGUAAUUUGGGGGGAAGAAAAUAAAUAUAUUGUGUUGAAUGCUGGCCUGGAGCUUAUUAAAUGAGAUUUGGGCUGUGAUAUGGAUUUUAAAGUCACUGGAGUGAAAAAGAUUAUUAAAUUUAUGUAUGUGGAAGAUAUCUAGGGAAAAUAUUUGAAGAGAAACAGCUCCAGGAAAGCAUAUUAGGAAAAAACACAUGCAUAACUACUAUUGAAGGAAUGUAAAUCUAUACAGCCAACUUUAAAAACACAUCCAGAAAAGCUGAAGAAGAGAAGAAUACUUUACAGAAAAAAGAGAAAGAAUUUCAAGAAAGUCAAAGUCAUUUAAGAUAUUUGAGAACUACAGAGAAGUAAAUUAACAUAAAGAUUGAAGAAAGAUCACCUAAAUAAAGAAGUAGUUGCAAGGAAGAAGCUGAGAUGAGAGAGACUGAUGGCAGCGUGCUGGGGGAAGAAAGAGAGGAGAAAGUGAUGCCAUGAAGAGGAAGCAAGCAAGAGGAAAAAGAGGGGGGACAGCUCCUAGAGGAGGUAGGACCCAGGGAUGUGGUUAUUUGUAUAAGAGGGAGGUUUGAACAAGUUGAUUAUGUUGAGAAUGCAAAUUGUAUUAGUCUGUUCUAAUGCUGUUAAUAAAGACACACCUGAGACUGGGUAACUUAUAAAUGAAAGAGAUUUAAUUGACUCACAGUUCCACAUGGCUGGGAGGACUCACAAUCAUGGCGGAAGAGCAAGGGACUUCCUUACGUGGCAGCAGGCAAGAAGGAAAAUGAGACAGAAGCGAAAGUGGAAACCCCUUAUAAAACCAUCAGAUUUUGUGAAACAUUCACUACCACAGGAAUAGUAUGGCAGAAAUUUUGUAACAUUUAGAUUACAUGUACAGAUACUGAACAGCUGCUAUAUGCCAGUUGGCUGAGUAGUAUUCCAUUGUGUAUAUAUGCCACAUUUUUAAAAUCCAUUCAUCUCUUGUUAGACACUUAGGUUGUUUCCAUAUCUUGA
rnacentral:lncRNA from 1 species